CGGGGUCCAGGAGGUUGGGCCUUGGAACGGAGGGCUCGGUGCAGGUCCUCAUGGUCAGCCGGUGGCCAUGAGAGCACCCACGGCUGUUUCAAAGGCCUUCUGUCACGUUUCCAUGUGAUGUUGCUCAGAUCGCUAGAGCUUCUAAGAAGGAACCGUCCUAGAGGCUUCCUCUCAGUUUCCUUUUUAAAGGUUUACACACUCUCUGGCAAGACCCCUGGAGAGGGUGCCUUCUGAGGAUGGGGAGAUGCCCUCGGGGCUGCCGUCGGCUCCUGGCUCCACGUGCACCAGAGGAGCUGAGGAGCAGGGAGCAGCGACGGAGAGGCGGUGGGACCCCGUGAGCCCUGCGGGCGGGAGUGCAGGGUCCACUCCGGAGGACCAGGUCUGCAGUCCGUGGCUGCGAUCACACGACUCUCCCCCGUGUUGCUUGUUUUAAUUGUUAUUUGAACACAUUGUCCUAGUAAAAGCUGCAGGCACGAUAGAGACGGCCAAAGUCGGCCGACAGACCCCCAGCCGCCUUCUCCUCCCCGCACAGGGGCCUGUCCCUGCAGUGGUCUUUCUUUCACAGAUAGUCAGAUUUUAAGAGGGUUUGUGUAAUUAUAGGCUGUGAUGCUUUUUCCACAGAACAAUGUGCUGUGGUCUUUUAAACAAAGGCAGGCAGAGUCCUGGGUGGGUGUCGUUUUCCGACAGGUGGGCACCUGGGCGCUGGUGUUUUUCCACCACAGAUCAUGAUGCAGUGAACAUCAUGAACUACAGCUCUCCAGGUGCCCCCCAGCCCCAGCCCCAGCUUGCCCAAACCAGCCCCUUGCCCGAGCUUUAGAGUGGAAGAAAAUCAUACAAGAUCCAAGGGGCUACCUACAGACACCAGCAAGCACCUGCUGUUCAGAGACUGGGUUAAAAUGGGGCAGAUUCAACAGGGUGAGGGUGCAGAACCUCGCCCCGUGAGACAGGCAUGGAUCUGUCUCCUGAUAUCGGACCUUCCAUGCAUUCUGCCCAUGUGGCAUUUGGAGAAGAGAGGAGAAUGGGCCCGAAACCUAAGAGCAUGACUCUCCACCACUGGGGACUAAGAAGGUGUCCAGAGAGGCUGGACCUAGCACCUGCUGCACAGAAGGCCCCGGGACCCUCCUCCCGGCCAUCUGGGAUGGCUUCCACAGCCGGCUAGGGCUCUUCUGUUCCAUCUCUGAAGUCAUCACGCUUUGUUGACACAAAGCACCGCCCAACCACAGCCCCUCACCUGCCCUGUGUAUUCUGUGACCCGAGAAUGAUCUUUUACAUUUUAAGAGGUUAGAAAAAAAUUAGAAGGAUGUUUUAUGACACAUAAAAAUUACAUGAAAUUAAACUUCACGGUUGAUAAAGAUUCGUAAC
rnacentral:lncRNA from 1 species